GAUCAUGGCUCAGGAUGAACGCUAGCUACAGGCUUAACACAUGCAAGUCGAGGGGCAGCAUCAUCAAAGCUUGCUUUGAUGGAUGGCGACCGGCGCACGGGUGAGUAACACGUAUCCAACCUGCCGACAACACUGGGAUAGCCUUUCGAAAGAAAGAUUAAUACCGGAUGGUAUAGUUUUCCCGCAUGGGAUGAUUAUUAAAGAAUUUCGGUUGUCGAUGGGGAUGCGUUCCAUUAGG
rnacentral:rRNA from 1 species